CAGCAGCCACGGUAAUACGAAGGGGGCUAGCGUUGCUCGGAAUUACUGGGCGUAAAGGGAGCGUAGGCGGACAUUUAAGUCAGGGGUGAAAUCCCGGGGCUCAACCUCGGAAUUGCCUUUGAUACUGGGUGUCUUGAGUAUGAGAGAGGUAUGUGGAACUCCGAGUGUAGAGGUGAAAUUCGUAGAUAUUCGGAAGAACACCAGUGGCGAAGGCGACAUACUGGCUCAUUACUGACGCUGAGGCUCGAAAGCGUGGGGAGCAAACAGGAUUAGAUACCCCCGUAGUCCCUGUCUCUUAUAC
rnacentral:rRNA from 1 species